rfam:Aedes albopictus isolate Foshan contig45401, whole genome shotgun sequence.
UGUUCUGUGGCUUAGUUGGUUAAAGCACCGGUCUAGUGAAUACGAGGUGGUGGGUUCGAAUCCCAUCAAAACUC